CACCUGAUGACCAACAUCCCAUAUGAUUUUAUCAUCAGGUGUGCUGAACACAUGAUGCAGAGCCACUGCUAGCUCGACAACUCCUAAGCUUGAACUCAGAUGCCCUCCUGUCUUCGAUACACUGUAUACAAUAUCUGCUCUAAGCUCUGCUGCUAGUUGUUCAAGAUCCUGUGUGGAUAGGUUCUUCGUGUGAACAGGGUAAUUGAUUGUAUCUAGCAAUGGUGUGGGUGGUUUCUCCCCUGAGAAAUCAAUUUUCCAGCCAUCUUUUUCUUUCCUUAUCAUCAUUUUCCCUUCUUCAUCUGGGUGGCCGGCAGAUGCUCGUAAACAGAACUGUUUCCUGCCACAGAGGUUUGAUCUUGG
rnacentral:misc_RNA from 1 species